GGGGGGUCCCGGGCCCGGUCAGGUGACACUCGCGGGGGGCGGGGCCCGCGGCCCUCCGCCGGGUCUCUCCCCCGGCCCUGGCGAAGCGGAAGCCGUAUCCCCCGAACCUGGCGCCGCCCCCUCGGAGGCCUCCUUUGCAAACCCGUCGGUUUCCUGGGGGAAGCGGGUCUCUCCUGGGAAAACAAUACCACUCGCUCCGUCACAAAGUACGUUUUGCACCGCAGCUAAAAAUAUGCCCUGGACGGCUCACAGGCGGCGUUCGGCCUUGAAUGAAUGAAGGAGGCAGCCGGUGGCUGGCUGAAAAAUCCACUCGGUAACCUUGACUUCUAGUUCGAGUCCACAGUUGGAUUUUUAUCUCUCGGGAGGUGUCGGUUGUGAGUGGAGGAGGAGUUAACAUUUGCGGAUUCCCUACUAAAACGGUUCCGAUCUCAUGGAGGGGAGGGUCUUACUAGCCGAGGUUAAGAGAUGUGGCUCCAAAGAUAACUAAGAGUAAGGUAGAGAGGAUUUUUCCUCCGUUUUUUAUGCUUAAAAUUUUUGACCUCAAAUUAUAAAAAUUACAAAUGCAUAUGGAUUCAGGCAUAACAGAAAAAUCUGAGGACCCGCAUAGCUAGUUAACAUUUGGUAUGCAUCCUUUUGUUUAGACCUUAAAAAUGCCUUGUCUUUUCUGCUAAUUUUCUGUAAACUGGCUGCCCAGAAACUGGCUGAGUAGAUGCCACACAUAAUCCUCAAAUCCAGUUUUAGUCAUUUGAUGCCUUUUCUGUGCUCACAGUCUUUUUACCAGAGCUGCUAAUGCAGCAGAAUGAAGUGUUUGCCCUUUGCUUCCCCUCUGUGCCCCAGGCCUCAGAUGUGCUUAUGAGCAGGGAGAGUCAGAAGGCAGCUGGGAGGAAACAGAAAAGAAAACUAAAGUUGCUUAGAUAAUCCUUGAAUUGUCCAGUAAUUUUUUUUUUUUUGUAAUGAAACUUCAAAACAUUAAUCCAUAUUGAGUAGACUUCAGUCAUCAGUCUGUAAUAGAUGAAAACCUCCUAGAGGGAAAAUGACUUGACCAAGGCCUUCCUUGCUUGGGAAAACAUUUGGACACCCUGAUUCAGUCUGGGGACGUCACCCUGGCCCUCUUCCUGGGAGUGUCUCUCAUCAGUUGGACCUUUGCAUUUUGUUCACAGCAGUCGUAGAAGCAUCAAGAAUGUCACCUCUUCCGAGAAUUAGUGUGGGAAGACACAGCUUUCCUUUUGGAUCAGAGGACCUUCUUAAAUAACAUUGCAUGUAUGGGUCUGCUGACCUUGGUAUAGACACCGUAACAGCCAUCAGUGAAUGUCCUGCCUGCCUGUUCUCCCUUCAGAUCCAUUCUAUACCCUGUGGCCAGGCCUCUCACCACAUCAUUUAUGUAUUUGACCCUCUUGUUAGAUUGAAUUCUUCGAGGGCAUUUCGUGGUUGUUCCUUACUGUGGAAGGCCUGGCGUGCAGUAAGCACCAGCCGUGUUUUUGUAGACAGUGGCUUGGCCUCUUUGCUGACCUCGGUGUCUGAUGAAUGGGGGUCCUUGUUGUCAGACUCUUGGUUACCUGAUUCUCUCCAGUUCUGAGUGCCAGAGAGAAAAAUAAAAGUUGCCAGAACAUAAUUGUUACUAAUGAACUGACUGCUUACAAAAUUUGUCUAUGCUCAGACACCAUAGCAUAACGCCAACUUUAGUUCCUGUCCAGCAAGUCAGGUGUUGGUUAGUACCACUUAUGGCUGAUUGAUAAAAGUCACCAUCAGUUAUAAAAUUGCCGAUCUUGGAAAAAAUGCAAGAUUUCAUGAAGUUUGAUGAAGGAAAUGUUUGAUGAAGGAAGUAUUUGAGAACUGUUAAGUUUCACUCAGAUCUGUUGACCACAUUCCUCAGAGAGACCCAUUUACAGAAGAAAAGAAAAUUAAUGAGGAUGAUACCAUGGGCCCUGAGAAAUGGAGUGAUUUAAAUAUCAAAAGGUGGAGAGAACCCUUGGAAACACUGUAAAGCUCUCAGGUAGUUUUCCAGAGUUAUGCAGUAAAAGCCAGAUAGGGAGUAAAUGUUUAUUGCAAACAUGUAUAUCAAAAAUCUCUAGUUUAUUCUUUAAAGCAUUAGUAGGUACUUAGUUACAUUUUAUGUCAUUAAAUAUAAGAAAAAUAAUUUUUAGUUUAAUUUUCAAGAUGUAGUUUCAUUUAAGUUUUGUUUUUACUAUUCACUGUGAAAAUUUGGUCCCUUGGGUGGCCUUAUUUCAAUACCACUUAUCCUCAGGUAGUAUGUGCUGCCUUCAUUCUCCGCCGUCUUGCUGCUGUUGCUUUCAGCCCUGUCCCUUGGCUUAUCCAGCUCUGACCCCGUUCUCCUUUCUGUUCUUCCUCCCCAGUGAAAUCUUGUCAGGCUCGCCUCCCCCAGUGAUCUCUGAUAGCUGGCAAGGACUCUUGUCCUGCCCUGAGACAGCUCUUGGGUCUAGCUUUUCGUGAGUCUUAUUUUGCAACCACAGUGAGAUUGUAAUCUCCAUGUCUCUCGUGACACGUUUAUACAUCUCAAUGUGCCUCCUACUCCUUUUGUUGAAUAAAGCAGUGGCUCAGGGGCUGAUGAUGAAACAGUAAAAAAGUGAGACCUGGAGGGUCAGUGUGGGUUGGAAGGGAUGGAGUACCUUGCAGAAGAAGUGGGAGUGCUCCUGAACUCUGAAAAGUGAAAGGGCCUUUCAGGUGGAAACAGUAGGUACAGAGGUGUGCUGUGUUCCCAGAAUGCCAAGGAGAGUGGCUUGGAAUUUGCAUUUCACCCCACUUCUGGGUGGCCUGGGGGACAGCAGAGAGGAGGAGGCUGCAGCAGUGCAGAGGGGAGAAAGGACUUCUAUUUGGGCAGGAGCAAUGAGAAUGGAACGGAAGGAAGGAUUUGGUAGAUGAAGAGAAUUCCACGGUGUUGGAGAUCAUGAUUUUGAGCCUGGGUCUGGGCAAAAGGCAUUGCCAUUAACUGAAGUAGGCAGAAGAAACUCUUUCGGGUAGAGGAAGAUCAUGAGUUGGAAAUCAGGCUAGCAAAUAAAUUGGUG